rnacentral:rRNA from 1 species
UUCUUUAUGAAUUUUAUAUAAGGUAAUUUCUGCCCAAUGAAUAAUUUUAUUUAAAUGGCUGCAGUAUAUUGACUGUACAAAGGUAGCAUAGUAAUUAGUUUUUUAAUUGGAAACUUGUAUGAAAGGAUACAUGAGAAAUUUUCUUUAUUAAUUUUAAAAUUAAAAUUUUAUUUUUUGGUAAAAAAGCUAAAUUGUUUUUUAGGGACGAUAAGACCCUAUAGAAUUUAAAAUUUAUUUUAAUUAAAAUGUUUUUUAGGUUAAAUUUAUUUCUUUUAAUUUAAAUUUUUAAUUGGGGUGAUUAAUAAACUUUAUAUCUUUUUUUUAUAAAUUCAUAUAUAUAUGUUUCUUUUGAUCCUUAAGUAAGAUUGUAAGAUAAAUUACCUUAGGGAUAACAGCGUAAUUUUAAUGGGAAGUUCAUAUUUAAAUUAAAUUUUGCGACCUCGAUGUUGAAUUAAGAGUAAUUUAUGGUGUAGGUGCUAUGAUUUUAAGUCUGUUCGACUUUUAUAAUCUUACA